rnacentral:rRNA from 1 species
ACUGGGGAUAAUUCCGGAUAGGCCACAGAUGCUGGAAUGCACUGUGGCUCAAAGCUCCGGCGCCGAAGGAUGGGUCUGCGGCCUAUCAGGGUUGUAGUGGGUGUAAUGUACCUACUAGCCUACGACGGGUACGGGUUGUGAGAGCAAGAGCCCGGAGAUGGAUUCUGAGACACGAAUCCAGGCCCUACGGGGUGCAGCAGGCGCGAAAACUUUACAAUGCGGGAGACCGUGAUAAGGGAAUCUCGAGUGCCAGCAUAUAAUGUUGGCUGUCCAGAUGCCUAAAAAGCAUCUGUUAGCAAGGGCCGGGCAAGACCGGUGCCAGCCGCCGCGGUAACACCGGCGGCCCGAGUGGUAACCGCUUUUAUUGGGUCUAAAGGGUCUGUAGCCGGCCAUGUAAGUCCCUUGGGAAAUCUGGCAGCUCAACUGUCAGGCUGCUAGGGGAUACUGCUUGGCUUGGGACCGGGAGAGGUGAGAGGUACCUUGAGGGUAGGGGUGAAAUCUUGUGAUCCUCGGGGGACACCAGUGGCGAAGGCGUCUCACCAGAACGGGUCCGACGGUAAGGGACGAAAGCUAGGGGCACGAACCGGAUUAGAUACCCGGGUAGUCCUAGCCGUAAACGAUGCUCGCUAGGUGUCAGUCACGGUGCGACCGUGAUUGGUGCCGUAGGGAAGCCGUGAAGCGAGCCACCUGGGAAGUACGGCCGCAAGGCUGAAACUUAAAGGAAUUGGCGGGGGAGCACUACAACGGGUGGAGCCUGCGGUU